UUAACUCGAAUUUGUAUGGAGUUGGAAAAGCUUUCUUCGUUUUCCGCUAGGGGUGUUGAUCCAACUCCAUACAAAUUGGAGUAA
rfam:Bombyx mori DNA, contig: Bm_scaf63_contig29615, strain: p50T/Dazao, build 2, whole genome shotgun sequence.